UACGGAGGAUGCAAGCGUUAUCCGGAAUUACUGGGCGUAAAGCGUGCGUAGGCGGACUUAUAAGUCAAGGUUGAAAUAUCCGGGCUCAACUCGGGGCACGGCCUUGAUACUGCAAGUCUUGAGUCAAGUAGAGGGUAAUGGAAUUCCCGGUGUAGCGGUGAAAUGCGUAGAUAUCGGGAGGAAUACCAGUGGCGAAGGCGGUUAGCUGGACUGUAACUGACGCUGAGGCGCGAAGGCUAGGGUAGCAAACAGG
rnacentral:rRNA from 1 species